UACGGGAGGCAGCAGUGGGGAAUUUUCCGCAAUGGGGGCAACCCUGACGGAGCAAUACCGCGUGAGGGAGGAAGGCCUUUGGGUUGUAAACCUCUUUUGUCAGGGAAGAACACUGACGGUACCUGACGAAUCANCCUCGGCUAACUCCGUGCCAGCAGCCGCGGUAAGACGGAGGAGGCAAGCCGUUAUCCGGAAUCAUUGGGCGUAAAGCGUCCGCAGGUGGCCUAUUCAAGUCUGCUGUUAAAGCCCAGGGCUCAACCCUGGANAAGCAGUGGAAACNGGGGAGCUAGAGUGUGGUAGGGGCAGAGGGAAUUCCCGGUGUACCNNUNAAA
rnacentral:rRNA from 1 species